CUACGGGUGGCAGCAGUGAGGAAUUUUGCGCAAUGGGGGAAACCCUGACGCAGCAACGCCGCGUGAGUGAUGAAGGCCUUCGGGUCGUAAAGCUCUGUCAAGUGGGAAGAACCUGGUAGAGGUUAAUACCCUUUAUCACUGACGGUACCACUGAAGGAAGCACCGGCUAACUCCGUGCCAGCAGCCGCGGUAAUACGGGGGGUGCAAGCGUUAUUCGGAUUUACUGGGCGUAAAGCGCGCGCAGGCGGUUUUUUAAGGCGGAUGUGAAAGCCCGGGGCUCAACCCCGGAAGUGCAUUCGAUACUGGGAGACUUGAGUAUGGGAGAGGGAAGUGGAAUUCCUGGUGUAGAGGUGAAAUUCGUAGAUAUCAGGAGGAACACCGGUGGCGAAGGCGACUUCCUGGACCAAUACUGACGCUGAGGCGCGAAGGCGUGGGGAGCAAACAGGAUUAGAUACCCCCGUAGUC
rnacentral:rRNA from 1 species